UUUAGGUGCAAAUUACCCCAGUGAUAGGCAAUUUUUCUCAAAGCCAUUGGAUAAGAUGCCAGAAGUGGAAGAAUUAAACUUCAGAGACAAAAGAUUUAAUUAAUUUUUUAAGACCUCCAAAUGAGCUCUUAAAAAUGAAAUGGCUCCAAAAUGCAUUGAAGUGAGAGCUAGAUUUCAGGAGUAAGUGAACACGGGAGGCAACAGGAGCACUGCUACGUACAGGGGGCUUGUCUGGAUCUGGGCUCAGCCUCACCGUCACACCCAUACGUCUGCCAGCAGUUUGUUACUUUCACAAAGAUGAGAAUGUGCAGUUUCAUUGUGAAGGACAUACGUAUGGAGACACAUAGGCAUGAAUGCACAGAAAGGAUUCAUCACUGUAUCUCACAUGGAAUACAGUGGUGCCUACUACAUAGAGUUGUUGUGAAGAUUACAAACAUGCCUGGCAUAUGGUAAAUAUUUAUAAAGAUCUGCAAGAAAAAUAAUAUAAGGCAAAUUACCUUUGCCUCUCAAAUGCCUUCUUAAUCCAGUUGUUCUUAAGAUGUGGCCUGAUCCCUCAGAGGAAUCAGGGGUCCUGAGAUCCACUCAGGGAAUCUAAAAGGUCAAAACUAUUUUCACAUUAAAACUUUUUAUUCUAAAAGACACAAGACUGAUAACAUUUUAGCAGUAGUAUAAAAAUGAGUAUAGAAAGAACUUUCUAGAAGCUAAUGGCAGGCAAUACAGAUUAAAUGUAGAUGCAGAGAGAAGAUUCCACUUUCUACUAAUAAGCCAUAUACUAAAGAAAGUGCAGAUUUCUGGAAAAGUGCUGAAAGCACACACUGGAGAUAGGACAGCCUGGUACCAGGAGGCUCUGGGAACUGGUGUCCACAUGAAACUGG
rnacentral:lncRNA from 1 species